rnacentral:tRNA from 22 species
GCGCCAGUAGCCCAACGGAUUAGAGCAUCUGACUACGGAUCAGAAGGUUGCAGGUUCGAAUCCUGUCUGGCGCACAA